GCCUUUAUAGCUCAGUGGUAGAGCGCAGCACUCGUAUUCGGCAAGUUUACUCGCUAAAUAUUCACAUGCUGAGGUCUCUAGUUCAAUCCUGGAUGGAGGCA